GGGAUUAGAUACCCCACUAUGCUUAGCCUUAAACCUAGAUGUUAAAUUUACAAGCAACAUCCGCCAGGGUACUACAAGCGCUAGCUUAAAACCCAAAGGACUUGACGGUGUCUCAGACCCACCUAGAGGAGCCUGUUCUAGAACCGAUAAUCCCCGUUAAACCUCACCACCCCUUGUUUUCCCCGCCUAUAUACCGCCGUCGCAAGCUUACCCUGUGAAGGUCCCAUAGUAAGCAAAAUGGGUACAUCCCAGAACGUCAGGUCGAGGUGUAGCUUACGAGGUGGAAAGAAAUGGGCUACAUUUUCUAAAUCAGAAUACACGAACGGCACUAUGAAACUAGUACCUGAAGGUGGAUUUAGCAGUAAAAAACAAAUAGAGAGUCUUUUUGAAUUAGGCUCUGAGACGCGCACACACCGCCCC
rnacentral:rRNA from 1 species